UGUCCUCCAUUCUCAGAAUAACCUCCUUUCUCGUCUCUUUCUCUUACUUUCUCUGGCUUCCUUCAAAACGAAGCACAAAGCCCACUUUCUGUAGAAGACUCUUUCCCACCACCCUGCCACUGCUAGUGACUUCCUUCUGAAAUUACCUUCCAUCUGCUCUGCAUAUCUCUCAUAUCACUUAACGCAUUGCCCGAUACAGUAAGGAUCUAUUGAAUGUAUGCUGACUACAAAUUGCUCAGCAGCAAUGGUAACAAUGAGGAUGAGAAUUUUCAAAGCCACACCACCCAAGGUAGACUGGGAAACUGAAGGCUCUCCUAUAACCAGUUGAAACUGCAAGAAAAAUUGAAGAAGGCCCCCUUGCAAUCACUCUAAGUGGAAUUUGAUUUCUAUCUUGGGAUAAACGUUUCAACUGGAAGGUAAGUGCUAGGAGAUAAGAAAGAUAAGGAAGCCAUAUGGCUCAGUUUUUUUUUUUUAAUGAAGGAUUA
rnacentral:lncRNA from 1 species